AAAUCUUUUUCCCGAAUUCCAGCCACUAGAGCUAGUACCACAAUGAGCUAUCCUUAGUAUGUCCCAUUUCUGAGU